rnacentral:lncRNA from 1 species
UUUUUCUUUUUUUUUUAGAAAGUGAGUUUCUUAAGGACAGGGGCUGGGGAGAUUUGUUCUUGUAUCACCAAGGACUAGCAUGAUGCUUAAUGUAUGGCAGUCUAUUGGUCGGUGUUCUCCAAAGAAACAGAGCCCAUCUCUCUUUCUCUGUAUAGGGUGAGAGAGAGAGAGUAAGAAAGAGAGGGAAGGAAGGAGGAAGAAAGGAAGAAGGAAGGAAAGAAAGGAAGGAAGGGCUGAGAGAAGUAUUAAGAAUGGCUUAUAUGAUUGUAGGGGUUGGAAAGGCCAAAAUCGGCAGGGCAGGCUGGCAAGCUAGAAACCCAGGGAAGAGCUGAUGUUGCAGUGUUGAGCCUGAAAAUAGUCUGGAGACAGAAUUCCUUCUUUCUCCAGAGAAGUAUUUUUCUCUUAGAACUUUCAACUGGUUGGACGUGGCCCACUCGCAUUAUGGAUUGUAAUCUGCUUUACUCAAAGCCUACUAAUUUAAAGGUUUAAAACAUCCAAAAAAUACCUUCACAGCAACAUGCAGAUUGGAGUGUGACUAAACAUCUGGGCAACAGAGCCUAACAAAGUUGAUAUACAAUAUUUACCAUCACUAUAGGCUCUCAAUAAAUAUUGGUUUAACUGCCAGGUAUCGUCUGUUUGCUUCUCAGUUCCAUCCUUUCCUAUGUUGUUGUCUGUCCUAGGAAGCUGUCCUGUAUGUACUAUGUUAACUAGGCUCUUGCGCCUUCUAUCUUCAUUGGGUUCAGCCAAUGGAGAACCCCAAGAGGACAGCAGUGGGAGGAAAGAGAAUGGGGUCAGAAUGUUUAUUUUUCUGUUGUUCCCACCGGAUGCUCCUCUAGGAUGGGCUGUGUGCCUUGGUCAAGGGUUACUGUACUUUUCAAGAUAGGCUACUCUAUAUGUUUCUCUCUUUCAAGGGCCCAGUAACCUCUUCCCCCCACUGCCAAAUCUUCCAGAAAUAGGGUGGUAUCAGCUUUCCUUCAGCUACCCCUGGGUUCUACACUGCCCUUUGCGGUCCUCCUAUAUUUUGUCUGUACUUUUAAAAUGAGUCACCUUAAAAUUAAACCCUCUUUGAAUUUGUUACAUUCACUUAUUGAUUGAUUACAGUAUACAUUCAUUUAUUGAUUGAUACAGUUGAGAGAAUAAGUUUUUGUUCCUGACCUCUCUCCUCAGUUAUGGUUUCCUAGUCUAUAAAAUGGAAAUGAAAUGCCUUAAAACACAGGGCUACUGGAUGAUUAAACCAAAUAAUAUAUGUACCAUGCCUAGCACACGUGGCAAAUGCCUCGCAUAAAAUAAACAUGUAACAAGUGUUCUUUUAUAAGAGUGGUAAUAAUAGUAAUAAAAAAGGAUAGCUGAUUUGAUAGGGUCACCGAACCUAAUUACAAAGAUACGGGAUACAAUGGAAGUGGACAGGCUUACCGAGAGCUUGAAAUGCAUCAUUAGUUUAUUCCUUCAUUUAUCAACAUAAAUGCUACCGAUACUAAGUGCUGGGAACACCAGGGUAAACAAAACAGAUUCUGUCCACCCUCUUUACCAUCCCAUUAGCUGGAGUCUCUGGCAUCUUACCUUAACAAUGGCAACACCCUCCUACCUCGUCUCCCUGCCUCCACUUUGCCUACUCCCACGCCCCAUCUGUUCUCCAUAUACCAUCAUCUAAAAACACAAAUUGGAUCAUGUCCCAUGUUUAAGACUCCGUGGUGGCUUCUCAGUGCUUUUGGAAUUGGGACUAAAAUCUGAAGGCCCUGCCUGAGAUGGUCCCUGCCCACCUCUGUACCCAUCUUGAGACACUCUCAGUGACUUGCUGAAGUCCAGCCCCUGUGGUCUCACUUUGGUUCUUACGACCACCAAGUUCCUUCAUCACCUGUCAUUCCUUAUGUUUGAGCACUUAUUUUUCCCUAGCCCAUUUACUUCCUGAUUCUUCUAGCUGGUCAGGAUCCCUGUCACAGCUGUGACACUACUUAUUCCUCUUUGCUAUGGAAUUCUGGGCAUUUAUUGAUGAAUAUGUUUCCCACACUAAAGAGCAAGUCUUAUGAUGGCAAGAACAUGGACAUUUUGUUCACCACCAUAUCUGCUAUCACCACAUAAGUGUUCAGUACCCAAGACGUGGUCCUGACCUCAAUCAAAUGCAUUAUUUUGUUCUAGUCGCCUGAUACCUAUAAGCAAUGGGAAGAAGUGAGGAUUUUGCUCUAUUUCUAGCUUCUAAGUAGGAAGUACUAUGAAAUGUAUAGAACCUAAGAGACAAUUGAGGGGAUGCUGAGGGGAUAUGACACCUAGAAUUAGAUCACAUGAAUUUAAACUCGGAUUCUUAUCUUUAAGGCUAAGUCAGCAUAAGCAAUUAACUUAACCUCUGAGAACCUCAGAUUCUGUCCUUAAAAUGAGAAUAGUAAUUACCACUUCACAACCUUCCUGGAGGAUUGACUGACAUAAAAUAGUAAAAGCAGCCAUUGCAGUGCCUGGCACAGAGUGGUUCAAUAACUUUCAUAUUUUUACUUGUUAUGAUCACUAGUAUUAUCUUCCUUACCACAAUAAUCACCUUAUUCUGUGAAAUGAAGGGCCUGUAGAAAUGUGUAUAAAAAUAAGUGGAUGAGAUUGUUAUAAAUGAGGCAACCACCCACUAUCUAUCUCAGUGAAAUGUCAAAAGCAAAACAUAAGAAGUUAUAUAGUAUAGUUAGAAACCAGCUUUUCAGAAAUUUUUCAGAGUCCUCCAGCAUUAAUCGAGGGAGUAAAUUUAGAAUUGGAUAUAGAGUCGAUACCUCUUACAGUAGGAAUGUAUACAGUGGGAGUGAGGAGUCAGAGCCGGAUGGAAAGGAGGCUGUGAAAGGAAGGAAGUUAUGGGGGAGUCAGGCCUUGGAGGUGGAGGAGGAUUCAGUGAUGCCAAGCCCGUGGUGUGGCCCAGAGCAGGUGGUUAAAGCAGGGCCUGGGGCUACGGAAAAUGUUGUAUGCGUGUAUAUGAAUAUAUGCAUAUAUAUUUUUGUUCUAUGUAUUCCCUCCAGAGCCAGUAUUCCUACAAGGGAAAGCUGCCACCUAAAGGACUUCAUUCUGGUGGUGACUACUUGGAUUUGGUAAAGGCGUUCAGGAGAGGAAGCAGCAGCCCUGGGUCCACCUGGUAGAAGCCAGGAGAUACUGGUCUCUGAGCCAUUCAUGCAGCUACAACAGUAAUCAUGCAAUCAGUAAGGAAUGGUUGAGUGGAGAAAUGGGAUGGUGCUCCAAGUGGGGUUUCUGCCAUUAGACUGAUGCUUUAGCACUCCUUACCAUGAUCAUUCAUCUGCAAAUGAACAAAAUCUAUGUCCUCAAUUAUCAAAAAUCAUCCAAACACCCAAGUAGGUAUCAACAAUGUAAGGAAAACACGUGGUUAAUUUUACAUUCCAACAUGCUGAGUUUUUAGGCUCCCAUUCUUUUGACUUUGCCCUACCCAAUGUAGGACCCACUGGUUUACAUUGCUGUUCAUGUGGUGCUGAUAAACAGAAGGGCCUCCGGAGCCUGUCAGAGCAGGGAUGAAGCCCAGGCCCACUUUUAUUGAAGAGGCCACCUCCCUGGUCCGAGUAUUGGCCAAUCUUUCUGUUAUAUUGUAUUUAGUCUUGCAGGUUGUCUCAAAUCCUUAGUGGACUGAGACAGAGGAAAGCCAUUAGUUAUUAUAUGACCUUGGGUUAUUCUCCAAAGUUGAUUCCAUCCUGGAGCCAAACUAUAUUCUUAAAGGAUGGCCAAAUCUACCUAAGAAGUAAAUGUUUAGAGAUUUAUCCUCAAUUUGGCAAAGGGAUGAUGCCAAAUUCCUCUGGAUGGCCCUCCAGAGGAAGCAGUUAAGUGGCCCUGCAAUUCUGUUGCCUGCCCCAGCCAGCCUGCCUUGCCCCCUGGAGGAGCAGGCACAGCGAGGCGAAAACAGUUCAUCCUUGCACUAGCCCACCUCUUUUCUCUCUUUUGUUAUGUUCAGUGUGCUCUUUGCGAUCAGAGAAGAAGUUAGCUCUGAAGAUACUGCAAUCUGCAAUAUUUGGAAAAAAGUUCAGAUCAUUGUUAUUUAUUGGAACAGCUCUUUUACAUAAGUCUGCGUGAUAUAAUCUGGAUUAUGAAAGUUCUACUGCUUGCAUUUCCACAUCUAUUCAAAAGAGCUUUUACCAGCCACUGGCCCUUCUGGAAAAAAAAAAAAAGUCUUAUAUUAAAGUCUAACAUCUUUAUUGACACUCAUGAGUGGCUUGGAAACAUAUAGUCAGUCUAUAUUUUCAUUUCACUCUUUUUGGCCUUUUGCAAGCAAAAGUCUUAACCAAGAAUUUAGCUGAGUACCAUUUACAUGGAAAUGAUCUACACCAAUAUUGAUGCCUAGAUCUGCCUCAGUGACCCACUUCUCUUCUGACCACAGCAUCCUAUUUCUUGGGAAAAUGUUCCUUGUGCCUGCUGUUACUACAUAGUCCUAGCGGGAACAGUGGAGCUCAGAACUCUGCCUCCUUGAUACACGUGUGAGCAUGUGAUCCGAGUGGGCCAAUCACAAACCUUUCCCAGGAAUUUUUAACUUGGAAGUUAAGGACAAAGUCCCUUUGUAC